UUAAAGAAAAGCUAUAUUUUAAGCUUUUAGGUUCAUACCCUUUAUAAAGAUAAUUUUCUUCUUUAAU
rnacentral:tRNA from 1 species